UCGAGAAUCUUCGGCAAUGGGCGAAAGCCUGACCGAGCGACGCCGCGUGGGGGACGAAGGCCUUCGGGUUGUAAACCCCUGUCGAGAGGGAGGAAGGUGCCGUGCAGAGCGGCGCUUGACCGAUCUCUGGAGGAAGCACGGGCUAAGUUCGUGCCAGCAGCCGCGGUAAGACGAACCGUGCGAACGUUAUUCGGAAUCACUGGGCUUAAAGCGCGUGUAGGCGGCCCGGCACGUCAGUCGCUGAAAUCCCCCAGCUCAACUGGGGAAGUGGCGUUGAUACGACCGGGCUGGAGGGGGGUAGGGGGGACGGGAACUCACGGUGGAGCGGUGAAAUGCGUUGAGAUCGUGAGGAACGCCCGCGGCGAAAGCGCGUCCCUGGACCCCACCUGACGCUGAGACGCGAAAGCCAGGGGAGCGAACG
rnacentral:rRNA from 1 species